ACGGGAGGCAGCAGUGGGGAAUAUUGGGCAAUGGGCGAAAGCCUGACCCAGCAACGCCGCGUGAGGGAAGAAGGUUUUCGGAUUGUAAACCUCUGUCCUUGGUGACGAAGGAAGUGACGGUAGCCAAGGAGGAAGCUCCGGCUAACUACGUGCCAGCAGCCGCGGUAAUACGUAGGGAGCGAGCGUUAUCCGGAUUCAUUGGGCGUAAAGCGCGCGUAGGCGGCUUGCUAAGCGGAACCUCUAAUCCGAGGGCUCAACCCCCGGCCGGGUUCCGAACUGGCAGGCUCGAGUGCGGUAGGGGCAAGUGGAAUUCCAUGUGUAGCGGUGGAAUGCGCAGAUAUAUGGAAGAACACCGAUGGCGAAGGCAGCUUGCUGGGCCGACACUGACGCUGAGGUGCGAAAGCGUGGGGAGCGAACAGGAUUAGAUACCCUGGUA
rnacentral:rRNA from 1 species